GACGAACGCUGGCGGCGUGCUUAACACAUGCAAGUCGAACGGAAAGGCCCUGCUUUUGUGGGGUGCUCGAGUGGCGAAAGGGUGAGUAACACGUGAGUAAACUGCCCUUGACUUUGGGAUAACUUCAGGAAACUGGGGCUAAUACCGGAUAGGAGCUCCUGAUGCAUGGGGGGGGUUGGAAAGAUUCGGCGGUUGGGGAUGGGCGCGCGGGUUAUCGGCGUGUGGGGGGGGUAGUGGCUUACAACGGCUUUGAAGGGUAGCCGGCCUGGGGGGGGGAACGGCCACAUUGGGCCUGCGAUACGGCCCAGACGCCAACGGGAGGCAGCAGUGGGGAAUAUUGCACAAUGGGCGGAAGCCUGAUGCAGCAGCUCCGCGUGCGGGAUGACGGCUUUCGGGUUGUAAACCGCUUUCGCCUGUUACGAAGCGUGAGUGACGGUAACUGGUAAAGAAGCACCGGCUAACUACGUG
rnacentral:rRNA from 1 species